AUACGUAGGGGGCAAGCGUUAUCCGGAUUUACUGGGUGUAAAGGGAGCGUAGACGGUUUGGCAAGUCUGAUGUGAAAGCCCGGGGCUCAACCGCGGGACUGCAUUGGAAACUGUCAGACUUGAGUGCAGGAGAGGUAAGUGGAAUUCCUAGUGUAGCGGUGAAAUGCGUAGAUAUUAGGAGGAACACCGGUGGCGAAGGCGACUUACUGGACUGUAACUGACGUUGAGGCGCGAAGGGGUGGGGAGCAAACAGGAUUAGAUACCCUGGUAGGCCACGCCGUAAACGAUGAAUACUAGGUGUUGGGAGACAAUAGUUUCUCGGUGCCGCAGCAAACGCAAUAAGUAUUCCACCUGGGGAGUACGUUCGCAAGAAUGAAACUCAAAGGAAUUGACGGGG
rnacentral:rRNA from 1 species